AGUGGGGAAUAUUGCACAAUGGGGGAAACCCUGAUGCAGCCAUGCCGCGUGUGUGAAGAAGGCCUUCGGGUUGUAAAGCACUUUCAGCGAGGAGGAAAGGGUAGCGGCUAAUAUCCGUUACCUGUGACGUUACUCGCAGAAGAAGCACCGGCUAACUCCGUGCCAGCAGCCGCGGUAAUACGGAGGGUGCAAGCGUUAAUCGGAAUUACUGGGCGUAAAGCGCACGCAGGCGGUUGGAUAAGUUAGAUGUGAAAGCCCCGGGCUCAACCUGGGAAUUGCAUUUAAAACUGUCCAGCUAGAGUCUUGUAGAGGGGGGUAGAAUUCCAGGUGUAGCGGUGAAAUGCGUAGAGAUCUGGAGGAAUACCGGUGGCGAAGGCGGCCCCCUGGACAAAGACUGACGCUCAGGUGCGAAAGCGUGGGGAGCAAA
rnacentral:rRNA from 1 species